UUUCUAGUGUCAUCAGUUUCAUAUGCAAUGACUAGACAUUUGGCAGCAGUUAGGAGAGAGGACACUCUGAAGGGCUGAGCUGGAGACACCGUGGACCUGUCCAUGGGGGGAGUCCUUGAGCUCUUAGUGAUGCUUCUGGCACAUCAAGGUGAUUUGCUUCUUCAAUGCCAGCAACAGAAACAGAGAAGGUCUCCACAGUUUUCAGUCUCUGAGCUCAGCAUUUUCAAAUCUCAAGUUUUGUUGAACUUUCCCCGGCUGAGGUUCCUACCAAUACUAUUUGCAGGAGUAAAAGCAACCAACAAGUAAGUACAAAACAACACUAAGCUUUGGAGGUGCCAAGAUAGAAGAAGCAAAGGUAAAUGAUUGUAUUACGUGUGUACCUUAAGGAA